CCAAAUGAAGAUAUCCAAAUGGAGCAAAAUGUGAAGAAGUACAGACACAUAUCUAAUUCUAAAUUGCUAAGCUCGUUCUUGCUACAUAACUAGCUAGCAUGGACUGUGGAAUCAGGCGCAUGAAGAUCUGGAUGCACAUUUCUGAACUGUGGAUCCUGGAUGAGUGUUACCUCAUUUCCAAGCCUCUUUCAACAGUAAAAUCAAGAAACCGUAAUGAGGAUUACAAGAGGGAAAACAUAAAGAUCUCAGUGCAGGGCCUGGAGUGCCUCAUGAUAAUAACAAUGAUGACAAAAAUAAUUAAUUAGUUGAUUUAGUAUUAUUUCUAGGAUUUUUCUUCAUUUAGUUUAUAUAUGACUUCUGCUUUACCGUUGCCAAUAAUUCCUUAGAAUCAUAAAAUUUCUGGGCGUAGUUGGUUAGACUCAUUUGGUAAACAUCGGGUUCUUUAGGAUUAAAGACGUGUGUAUUUUAGGAUCAGGAGGAGACCUUGGAGCCACUAUUGACUGUGAUAAGGGCACGAUCACUCCUUCUUCCUGGUUCUCAGUCUCCAGAGGGUGCAAAGUUGCCACCUAUCCCGUAAGUGUUGAUGGGGAAGUCUUCCGCAUUAGGAAUCUGCUCAACUACAUUCCAAUCUCUGAGAAAAAUUUUUCAGUGCAAGUACAUUCUCAAUAACAGGUGGUGCCGACCAGUGUCACAUGUGUUUCACUGUACAGCCUACUCUCAGGUACAUACCUGGAUCAAAAUCUGGCCUCUGUCUAUUAGUUUUACGCCUAGUUUUAACUCCUACUGGAAAACUUUCCUGAAGGCAAGAAAAUAAAAGGCUGUUACAUAGCAAUAAAUUUUCUUACUCUAAUUUAUUAAGCAUGAUAUUCAAAUUAUUAUUACUAAAACUCCCUUGUGGCCACCUAAGCUGAGAGCUUGGAAUAGCCUUUAAUUCUUCACAGACUUUUCUCAUUUCUUUUCUUCAGUUUUUUUUUUUUUUUAACCAAAAACGAUUGGCUUUUCUUACUAUUCAAAGAGGGUUGCUUUUUACCAGUAGGCCUAAGAAGAUAAAUAAUUCCUCUUACAUGUUCUCAGUUAAUUCCAUCUUUCGACCAUGUAUUUAUGUGCCAAGUGCUUAAAGGUUAAAGAUAAGUGUGAUUAGGAAAUGCAAUAAAAUUAAUUUGCAACUUGUAAUGACCAUAUUUCAUUGAAUGCAAUAAUAUAUCUUGAAUUCUAAGAUGCACCAUCUUGCUAAGCACAAAUGAGAAAGAAAAAAAAAAUGCUCUCAAAGAAACCAUGAAACAUCACUUCUAAGAUACAUCCCAAUUUCUCAAAAAUUAAAAUGCAGGAGUUCCCGUCGUGGCGCAGUGGUUAACGAAUCCAACUAGGAACCAUGAGGUUGCGGGUUCGGUCCCUGCCCUUGCUCAGUGGGUUAACGAUCCGGCGUUGCCGUGGGCUGUGGUGUAGGUUGCAGACGCGGCUCGGAUCCUGCAUUGCUGUGUCUCUGGCGUAGGCCGGUGGCUCCAGCUCCGAUUCAACCCCUAGCCUGGGAACCUCCAUGUGCCGUGGGAGCGGCCCAAGAAAUAGCAGAAAGACAAAAAAAAAAAAAAAAAAAAAAAAUUAAAAUGCAUAAAAAUGUCUUGAAUCUGAAAUAUGGUAAUCUUACUAGUUAUCUAACUAAAUAAUUUGCAGCAUCAUAUCAAGAAAAAAAAGUAACAGGUAUGAGAGGGAUGGACUAGGGUUUUGGGACUGGCAUAU
rnacentral:lncRNA from 9 species